CACUGUUUCGGCUAGGGGGCCAUCCCGGCUUACCAACCCGAUGCAAACUGCGAAUACCGGAGAAUGUUAUCACGGGAGACACACGGCGGGUGCUAACGUCCGUCGUGAAGAGGGAAACAACCCAGACCGCCAGCUAAGGUCCCAAAGUCAUGGUUAAGUGGGAAACGAUGUGGGAAGGCCCAGACAGCCAGGAUGUUGGCUUAGAAGCAGCCAUCAUUUAAAGAAAGCGUAAUAGCUCACUGGUCGAGUCGGCCUGCGCGGAAGAUGUAACGGGGCUAAACCAU
rnacentral:rRNA from 1 species